rnacentral:rRNA from 1 species
GACGAACGCUGGCGGCGUGCUUAACACAUGCAAGUCGAACGGCAAGGCCCUGCUUUUGUGGGGUGCUCGAGUGGCGAACGGGUGAGUAACACGUGAGUAACCUGCCCUUGACUUUGGGAUAACUUCAGGAAACUGGGGCUAAUAUCGGAUAGGAGCUGCUGCUGCAUGGUGGGCGUUGGAAAGUUUCGGCGGGUGGGGAUGGACUCGCGGCUUAUCAGCUUGUUGGUGGGGGAGUGGCUUACCAAGGCUUUGAAGGGUAGGCGGCCUGGGAGGGUGACCGGCCACAUUGGGACUGAGAUACGCAGCAGACUCCAACGGGAGGCAGCAGUCGGGAAUAUUGCACAAUGGGCGGAAGCCUGAUGCAGCAACGCUGCGUGCGGGAUGACGGCCUUCGGGGUGUAAACCGCUUUCGCCUGUGACGAAGCGUUAGUGACGGUAAUGGGUAAAGAAGCACCGGCUAACUACGUG